CGCCGGGAUUCCUUGAUACUAGCAGCCAAUCACAAAACCAGAAAAAAGCCCCCGGAAGGCGGGAUGAGUCGCCCUAACAACCAGAGCGUCUUCCACGGCUUCACAGCAGGAGACUGAGGGGUGGGGAGUGGCUCUUCCCGCCAAUCCGCGGGCUGCAUAGUGACGUACGAUGUGGUUCUGGAAGAUCCACCAAUCUCAGGGGCUGGUUCUCGACGAACUUCAAUCUCCCAUAAUGCUUCGUGCACUCAUGGACCUCCGUUAAGGGACUACACGUCCCAUGAAACCCCGCAGUAUAAGCUUGAAGUAUCAUCACUGAGGAAAGUGUAAUUGUCUCAGGGCCAGUGGCGCAAUGGAUAACGCGUCUGACUACGGAUCAGAAGAUUCCAGAAUGGCCUCAGCUCUAUGGCAAGCAUGAUGUUGAACAGUUCCCAGUAAUUCUGUACCACCAUGCUCCCCGCCUUUCCGACAGCACUUUCCUGUGGCUUCUAAAAACAGCAGAAGCAUGUUAAGUUGCCGAUGGAACGCCUACUGGAUGCAAGCCUUGGCUGAGAUGAAAAGGAACCAGUGACCAACAGGCAGAACCUUGGAAACUUUUCUGGAAAGGAAAGAGUAUCCUCUCGCAGAUAAUUCUCCCCUUGCCCCUCAACGCCCCCCCCCCACAUUCCUCACCUCCAGGCCCAGUUCUUUUACCUGAUCCUGUUUUUGUGACCUUGUUUAAACAACUCCAGCCCAUUGUAAAUACUCCCUUCAUCUCUGGUGCUCCACUCCUCCCUCAGCACUUGCCUCCCUCCCCAGCGCCCCUUCACUCACCUCUGUGCCUGCCCAGCCAGCUAGACUCUUCCACACCAAAAUAAAGGCCGUUUGACCCUCCUACUGCUCCAGAUUGCUUCUGUGCAAUCAAGGCUGUCCUGCAGCUACCAAAGUGGCAGAGUUACUGAGGCAAAAUAAUCUGUGCCGAUUUGCAUUAUCUUCCUUGUCAGCUCUAUUAUACAGUGUUUAUCUGUCAAAAUGAAUAGAAAGUAGAAAUUGUUCAGGGAACACAGAAAAAGAUGGAAAACUACCCGAUUUGUUUAUGAAGCCAGAGUAUACCGAAUAUCAAAACCUGUCAGCAGAAGCCCCCCCAAAAAAACCCUCUUAGACCAAUCUCACUUAUGAAUAUAAAUGUAAAAAUCCUAAAACAUUUAAGAUUAACAUAUAAAAGACAGCAGUAUGUUAAUAUAAUAAUUACAUACAAACCAAGUAGGGUUUAAUCUUGGGACUUAAGACAAGAUUAGGUAUUAGGAAAUUUAUUUAUAUAAAAGGUCAAAAAUAAACCAAACAAGAAAAACAUCUGAUUGGGCGCCUGGGUGGCUCAGUUGGUUGAGCGACUGCCUUCGGCUCGGGUUGUGAUCCUGGAGUCCCGGGGAUCGAGUCCCACAUCGGGCUCCCUGCUCAGCAGGGAGUCUGCUUCUCCCUCUGACCCUCCCCCGUCUCAUGUGCUCUCUCUCUCUCUCAAAUAAAUAAAUAAAAUCUUUAAAAAAAAAAAAUGAAUUGAGCCUAACUCUCCACUGAGGCUUCCUUUCCCCUAUUAGAAAAAAAAAAAAAGAAAAAAAAUCUGAUCAUUUUAAUAGUCACCAAAGAGAAUGUGGCAAGUCAAUUCCAUUUGCUAU
rnacentral:lncRNA from 1 species